UUGGUGGUGACUCCUAUGUCUGCUGUUUCUCGUAUUACUACUACUUUGCUUAACAAAUUUAAUGUGAAGGAAGUUGGUGCACUUGAGGAAAGGGUUGUUGACAUGGGAAUGCCUGAGGGCUUGAAGCUGUUGAAAGCAAGUUUGCAGUCGAAGACGAUUUUAGCAAGCGUCUUUCUCGGUAACACGGGCUGAGGAUUGAUGCAUACUCGAUCCUAUUGCUGCUGAGGAAACAAUGCACGCGCGUUAGACUUUGAUUCGUUCAAGGGUCUUGUGGUGGUCUAGAAUUUGGUUGUUUUUUCUAUGUACCAUCUUUUUUUGUUUAUUGAUGAUGAGGGUAUCUGGUGGUUUGCCCAAACUAUGUUCAUGAAGGAGGCUGCAAGUUUUAAUAUAUGCUUGACCAAUGCUGUAA